rnacentral:rRNA from 1 species
AUUGAACGCUGGCGGCAUGCUUUACACAUGCAAGUCGAACGGCAGCACGGGGGCAACCCUGGUGGCGAGUGGCGAACGGGUGAGUAAUAUAUCGGAACGUACCCGGAAAUGGGGGAUAACGUAGCGAAAGUUACGCUAAUACCGCAUAUGCCCUAAGGGGGAAAGCGGGGGACUCGCAAGAACCUCGCGUUUUCGGAGCGGCCGAUAUCGGAUUAGCUAGUAGGUGAGGUAAAGGCUCACCUAGGCGACGAUCCGUAGCUGGUCUGAGAGGACGACCAGCCACACUGGAACUGAGACACGGUCCAGACUCCUACGGGAGGCAGCAGUGGGAAUUUGGACAAUGGGCGCAAGCCUGAUCCAGCCAUGCCGCGUGAGUGAAGAAGGCCUC